AUCAACUUUCGAUGGUAGGAUAGAGGCCUACCAUGGUGGUAACGGGUAACGGGGUGUUAGGGCACGACACCGGAGAGGGAGCCUGAGAAACGGCUACCACAUCCAAGGAUGGCAGCAGGCGCGCAAAUUACCCAAUCCCGACACGGGGAGGUAGUGACAAUAAAUAACAAUACGGGGUUCUUUCGGAUCUCGUAAUUGGAAUGAGUACAAUUUAAAUCUCUUAACGAGGAACAAUUGGAGGGCAAGUCUGGUGCCAGCAGCCGCGGUAAUUCCAGCUCCAAUAGCGUAUAUUAAAGUUGUUGCAGUUAAAAAGCUCGUAGUUGAAUUUCGGGACCAAUGUGCCGGUCGUGCCUCCGGUACGCACUGGUUUUAUUGGUUUCUCCCUUCUGACGAACCAUGAUGUCAUUAAUUUGGUGUCAUGGGGAAUCAGGACUGUUACUUUGAAAAAAUUAGAGUGUUUAUAGCAGGCUCACGCUUGAAUACAUUAGCAUGGAAUAAUGAAAUAGGACGUUUGACCCUAUUUUGUUGGUUUCUAGGAUCGACGUAAUGAUUAAUAGGGAUAGUUGGGGGCAUUAGUAUUCAAUUGUCAGAGGUGAAAUUCUUGGAUUUAUUGAAGACUAACUACUGCGAAAGCAUUUGCCAAGGAUGUUUUCAUUAAUCAAGAACGAAAGUUAGGGGAUCGAAGACGAUCAGAUACCGUCGUAGUCUUAACCAUAAACUAUGCCGACUAGGGAUCGGAUGAUGUUAAUUUUUUAAUGACUCAUUCGGCGCCUUACGGGAAACCAAAGUGUUUGGGUUC
rnacentral:rRNA from 1 species